rnacentral:rRNA from 1 species
GACGAACGCUGGCGGCGUGCUUAACACAUGCAAGUCGAACGGUGAAGGGAUCAGCUUGCUGGUUCUGGAUGAGUGGCGAACGGGUGAGUAACACGUGAGUAACCUGCCCCCUUCUUCUGGAUAACCGCAUGAAAGUGUGGCUAAUACGGGAUAUUCUGCUCCUGCUGCAUGUUGGGUGUUGGAAAGAUAUUGUUUCGGUGGUGGAUGGGCCCGCGGCCGAUCAGGUUGUUGGUGGGGUGAUGGCCUACUAAGGCGGUGACGGGUAGCCGGCCUGAGAGGGUGGACGGUCACACUGGGACUGAGACACGGCCCAGAAUGCUACGGGAGGCAGCAGUGGGGAAUAUUGCACAAUGGGCGCAAGCCUGAUGCAGCGACGCCGCGUGAGGGAUGGAGGCCUUCGGGUUGUGAACCUCUUUCGCCAGUGAAGCAGGCCUGUCCCUUGUGGAUGGGUUGACGGUAGCUGGAUAAGAAGCGCCGGCUAACUACGUG